rnacentral:rRNA from 1 species
UACGUAGGGUGCGAGCGUUAAUCGGAAUUACUGGGCGUAAAGCGUGCGCAGGCGGCGCGUUAAGACAGGUGUGAAAGCCCCCGAGCUUAACUUGGGAAUUGCGCUUGUGACUGGCGUGCUGGAGUGUGGCAGAGGGAGGUGGAAUUCCACGUGUAGCAGUGAAAUGCGUAGAGAUGUGGAGGAACACCGAUGGCGAAGGCAACCUCCUGGGCCAGCACUGACGCUCAUGCACGAAAGCGUGGGGAGCAAACAGG